AAGGCCUACGGGGCGCAGCAGUGAGGAAUAUUGGUCAAUGGGCUUACGCCUGAACCAGCCAAGUCGCGUGAGGGAAGACGGCCCUACGGGUUGUAAACCUCUUUUGUCGGGGAGCAAAGCGAGUCACGUGUGACUCAUUGAGAGUACCCGAAGAAAAAGCAUCGGCUAACUCCGUGCCAGCAGCCGCGGUAAUACGGAGGAUGCGAGCGUUAUCCGGAUUUAUUGGGUUUAAAGGGUGCGCAGGCGGAGGUGCAAGUCAGCGGUCAAAUUGCGGGGCUCAACCCCGUACUGCCGUUGCAACUGCA
rnacentral:rRNA from 1 species